rnacentral:rRNA from 1 species
UGGGGAAUAUUGCACAAUGGGCGCAAGCCUGAUGCAGCGAUGCCGCGUGAGGGAAGAAGGUUUUCGGAUUGUAAACCUCUGUCAUCAGGGACGAAAAAGGACGGUACCUGAGAAGGAAGCUCCGGCUAACUACGUGCCAGCAGCCGCGGUAAUACGUAGGUGGCAAGCGUUGUCCGGAAUUACUGGGUGUAAAGGGAGCGCAGGCGGGAAAUCAAGUUGGAUGUGAAAUGUCGGGGCUUAACCCCGGAACUGCAUCCAAAACUGAUAUUCUUGAGUGAAGUAGAGGUAGGCGGAAUUCCGAGUGUAGCGGUGAAAUGCGUAGAUAUUCGGAGGAACACCAGUGGCGAAGGCGGCCUACUGGGCUUUAACUGACGCUGAGGCUCGAAAGUGUGGGGAGCAAACAGGAUUAGAUACCCUGGUAGU